rnacentral:lncRNA from 1 species
UGGGGAUUUGUAGUAGUAUGGUGGAGGAGGAGAUGGGGAAGGUGGUGGUGGGGAUUUGUAGUAGUAUGGUGGAGGAGGAGAUGGCGAUGGUGGUGGAGGAGACUUGUAGUAGUAAGGAGGUGGAGGUGAUGGAGAUGGUGGUGGAGGAGAUUUGUAGUAGUAUGGAGGUGGCGGUGAUGGAGAUGGUGGUGGAGGAGAUUUGUAAUAGUAUGGUGGUGGAGGAGAUGGGUCUGGUGGUGGUGGAGACUUGUAGUAGUAUGGUGGAGGAGGAGAUGGUGAUGGUGGAGGAGGAGACUUGUAAUAGUAGGGAGGUGGGGGUGAUGGAGAUGGUGGUGGAGGAGACUUGUAAUAGUAUGGUGGAGGAGGAGAUGGCGAUGGUGGUGGUGGAGACUUGUAAUAGUAGGGAGGUGGAGGUGAUGGUGAUGGUGGUGGAGGAGAUUUGUAGUAGUAUGGAGGUGGUGGUGAUGGAGAUGGUGGUGGAGGAGACUUGUAAUAGUAUGGUGGUGGUGGUGGGGACUUGUAGACGUACUUAGGUGAUGGUGGUGGUGGGGACUUGUAGACGUACUUAGGUGAGGGAGGUGGUGGAGACUUGUACACGUAUUUAGGUGAUGGAGGAGGUGGUGAUUUGUACACGUACUUCGGUGAUGGAGGUGGUGGUGACUUGUACACGUAUUUAGGUGAUGGAGGAGGUGGUGAUUUGUACACGUACUUCGGUGAUGGAGGUGGUGGUGACUUGUACACGUAUUUAGGUGAUGGAGGAGGUGGUGACUUGUACACGUACUUUGGUGAUGGAGGCGGUGGUGACUUGUAUACGUAUUUAGGUGAUGGAGGAGGUGGUGACUUGUACACGUACUUUGGUGAUGGAGGUGGUGGUGAUUUGUACACGUAUUUAGGUGACGGAGGAGGUGGUGACUUGUACACGUACUUUGGUGAUGGAGGUGGUGGUGACUUGUACACGUACUUUGGUGAUGGAGGUGGUGGUGACUUGUACACGUACUUUGGUGAUGGAGGUGGUGGUGACUUGUACACGUACUUGGGGGAUGGAGGAGGUGGGGACUUGUACACGUAUUUUGGUGAUGGUGGUGGAGGAGAUUUGUAGUAGUAAGGAGUUGGGGUUGGCUUAGGCUUCAUGCAUUCUUCAUAUGGAGUUUUUGGAGCAUAAGCAAAUGGUUUAGCAGAGAGCACAACUUCAUAAUGAUUCUUUGACUUCACUUUGAGGUUAGCACCCUUGAUGCCCCAAUGAAGAUCUGUGGGGAUGUUACAUUUUGAAUCCUUUGGUGCUUUGUGGAGUUUAGCCUUGCAUGCAUCUGCUCCAUAUUUGGCAUAAUCAAAUCCUUCAACAGUGAUG